rnacentral:lncRNA from 1 species
CCACAAAACACAACUGCAAGAGCCUCAAAUCUCCGAGAAACCUUUCGGUUUCCGACCAUUCAUGGCGGUUCUGGGCACCACUCAGGUCGUUUUUUCCUUUUUCUAUUUUAUUCGUAUGUAUACAAAAAAAUAGUAAAUAGCAGUAGAUUAUAGAAAUCAACCUUUUUUUUUAUUGAUGUUUGCACUAUUAAUAUUCUGAUGUUUUGCUGUGAGAAUAAAAACCCUUCUCUUUAUUGAUUUUCCAAAUAGGAUCCUUAUUACAAUGUGUUAAGAUUGCUUUCAUAGCAAUCUUAAAAAUACAAAGAAAUCUGCUAAUAUCUGUUUGAUUUGAUUUCGAAAUCCUUGAUUUUCUUUCCUUUCUUGUGUUUGCAGGUGAAGAUCGCUCGGAGAUUCGGACUAGGUGGCUGCGGCGCGAGUUCUCCUCAGAAAACCUAGGGUUUCUGCCAUUGUUUUGGGCCACUAGAUUUGAGCCUCUACUUUAUUUCAAUUUGGGCCAUGUAUUCUGGGCCCAUUAUUUUUUUUAGAUUUAGCUUUGUAAACACAAACUGGACAUUUUAUUUUAUUUAUAUUUAUAAAAAGGGCCGGG